UAGAAGUUAGUUUAAUUUAAAACGAUAGCCUGUGGAGCUUUAGAUGAUUGCUGAUUACUUCUAU
rnacentral:tRNA from 1 species